GAUGAACGCUGGCGGCGUGCCUAAUACAUGCCAGUCGAGCGGACGGACGAAAAUCUUGCUUCGCUGAUGUUAGCGGCGGACGGGUGAGGAACACGUAUAUAACCUACCUAUAAGACUGGGGUAACGUCGGGAAACCGGAUCUAAUACCGGAUAAUAGUUUGAACCGCAGGGUUCAAAGGUGAAAGACGUUCUUGCUGUCACUUAUAGAUGGAUCCUCGCUGCAUUAGCUAGUUGGUAAGGUAACGGCUUACCAAGGCAACGAUGCAUAGCCGACCUGAGAGGGUGAUCGGUCACACUGGAACUGAGACACGGUCCAGACUCCUACGGGAGGCAGCAGUAGGGAAUCUUCCGCAAUGGGCGAAAGCCUGACGGAGCAACGCCGCGUGAGUGAUGAAGGUCUUCGGAUCGUAAAACUCUGUUAUUAGGGAAGAACAUAUGUGUAAGUAACUGUGCAUAUCUUGACGGUACCUACUCAGAAAGCACCGGCUAACUACGUG
rnacentral:rRNA from 1 species